GACGAACGCUGGCGGCGUGCUUAACACAUGCAAGUCGAACGGAAAGGCCCUGCUUUUGUGGGGUGCUCGAGUGGCGAACGGGUGAGUAACACGUGAGUAACCUGCCCUUGACUUUGGGAUAACUUCAGGAAACUGGGGCUAAUACCGGAUAGGAGCUCCUGCUGCAUGGUGGGGGUUGGAAAGUUUCGGCGGUUGGGGAUGGACUCGCGGCUUAUCAGCUUGUUGGUGGGGUAGUGGCUUACCAAGGCUUUGACGGGUAGCCGGCCUGAGAGGGUGACCGGCCACAUUGGGACUGAGAUACGGCCCAGACUCCUACGGGAGGCAGCAGUGGGGAAUACUGCACAAUGGGCGGAAGCCUGAUGCAGCAACGCCGCGUGCGGGAUGACGGCCUUCGGGUUGUAAACCGCUUUCGCCUGUGAGGAAGCGUGAGUGACGGUAAUGGGUAAAGAAGCACCGGCUAACUACGUG
rnacentral:rRNA from 1 species